rnacentral:rRNA from 1 species
AAUAGAUACCCGGGUAGUCCACGCCGUAAACGGUGAGUGCUAAGUGUUAGAGGGUUUCCGCCCUUUAGUGCUGCAGCAAACGCAUUAAGCACUCCGCCUGGGGAGUACGGUCGCAAGACUGAAACUCAAAGGAAUUGACGGGGGCCCGCACAAGCGGUGGAGCAUGUGGUUUAAUUCGAAGCAACGCGAAGAACCUUACCAGGUCUUGACAUCCUCUGACAACCCUAGAGAUAGGGCUUCCCCGUUCGGGGGCAGAGUGACAGGUGGUGCAUGGUUGUCGUCAGCUCGUGUCGUGAGAUGUUGGGUUAAGUCCCGCAACGAGCGCAACCCUUGAUCUUAGUUGCCAGCAUUCAGUUGGGCACUCUAAGGUGACUGCCGGUGACAAACCGGAGGAAGGUGGGGAUGACGUCAAAUCAUCAUGCCCCUUAUGACCUGGGCUACACACGUGCUACAAUGGGCAGAACAAAGGGCAGCGAAGCCGCGAGGCUAAGCCAAUCCCACAAAUCUGUUCUCAGUUCGGAUCGC